CUUAGAGUUUGAUCUGGCUCAGGACGACGCUGGCGGCGUGCUAAUCAUGCAAGUCGAGCGACAGAAGGGAGCUUGUCCCGGAUGUUAGCGGCGGACGGGUGAGUAAACCGUGGGUAACCUGCCUGUAAGACUGGGAUAACUCGGGAAACCGGAGCUAAUACCGGAUAGUUCCGAACCGCAUGGUUCAAGGAUGAAAGACGGUUUCGGCUGUCACUUACAGAUGGACCCCGGCGCAUUAGCUAGUUGGUGGGGUAAUGGCUCACCAAGGCGACGAUGCGUAGCCGACCUGAGAGGGUGAUCGGCCACACUGGGACUGAGACACGGCCCAGACUCCUACGGGAGGCAGCAGUAGGGAAUCUUCCGCAAUGGACGAAAGUCUGACGGAGCACGCCGCGUGAGUGAUGAAGGUUUUCGGAUCGUAAAGCUCUGUUGUUAGGGAAGAACAAGUGCGAGAGUAACUGCUCGCACCUUGACGGUACCUAACCAGAAACCACGGCUAACUCGUGCCACACCGCGGUAAUACGUAGGUGGCAACGUUUCCGGAAUUAUUGGGCGUAAAGGGCUCGCAGGCGGUUUUUAAUUGAUGUGAAAGCCCCCGGCUCAACCGGGGAGGGUCAUUGGAAACUGGGAAACUUGAGUGCAGAAGAGGAGAGUGGAAUUCCCGUGUAGCGGUGAAAUGCGUAGAGAUGUGGAGGAACACCAGUGGCGAAGGCGACUCUUGGUCUGUAACUGACCUGAGGAGCGAAACGUGGGGAGCGAACAGGAUUAGAUCCCUGGUAGUCCCGCCGUAAACAGGCUAAGUGUUAGGGGGUUUCCGCCCCUUAGUGCUGCAGCUAACCGCAUAAG
rnacentral:rRNA from 1 species